GACGGAGGAUGCAAGCGUUAUCCGGAAUGAUUGGGCGUAAAGCGUCCGCAGGUGGCAGUUCAAGUCUGCUGUCAAAGACCGGGGCUUAACUUCGGAAAGGCAGUGGAAACUGAACAGCUAGAGUAUGGUAGGGGCAGAGGGAAUUCCUGGUGUAGCGGUGAAAUGCGUAGAGAUCAGGAAGAACAUCGGUGGCGAAAGCGCUCUACUGGACCACAACUGACACUCAGGGACGAAAGCUAGGGGAGCGAAUGGG
rnacentral:rRNA from 1 species